rfam:Pseudomonas sp. HPB0071 genomic scaffold aczIi-supercont1.1, whole genome shotgun sequence.
UGCAGGGCGCCGAAGCCGGGCCCUGCGUUGAAACUUGCUGAUGACUCAGGAGAUUCCCUAUAUGAAC